rnacentral:rRNA from 1 species
AGAAAGAGGGCUUGGUACCCCGACGACGACAAGCGCUCUAUAUACACCAUGUUGCUGGUCAGAAAUGGUCGCACGGGUCGUCUGAAAAAUGGCGUGACUAAAGUCGUAUCAGACCUCACCAAAGUGCCACCACGGUGCCUUCGUCGGAUAUGGGAGAAUGGGAAUGGCGGAGGGGUGAAUGCAGUGGUUAACAAGAAGGCUAAGAAUUGUGGCAGGAAAAGGGUACUGGUGGAUACAGAUGCUAUGCGAGACAUACCAUUAGAACAAAGGACUACAAUUGUCGACCUUGCCAUUGCAUUGAACAUGAAGAAAAGUACUGUUCACAAACGGUUGUAGGAGAAAAGUAUAAGGCGUCAUCGGAGCAGCAUCAAGCCUAUCCUCACGGAUGAGAACACAAAAGCUCGUGUUGCUUAUUGCUUGUCCAACCUAGAGCCAGCGAGCUGUCCGGAAAAUACGGUGUUCAAGGAUGGGUACAACACUCUGCAUAUUGAUGAAAAGUGGUUCUACCGUAGUCGGUUAAACCAGAAGUUUUACUUGUGUAACGAUGAGCCCGAUCCACAUAGAUGCACUAAGCACAAAAGUCACAUCGACAAAGUAAUGUUUUUGUGUGCUGUUGCCUGGCCUAGGUUUGAUGCAGCAGGUAAUUGCACGUUUGAUGGGAAGCUAGGAGUAUGGGCUUUUGUGGAGGAAGUGGCUAAAAAGAAGAGCAAAAAUAGGGGCCGAGGCACGUUGGAGACAAAGGUCCUUCCUAAAGUUAACAUGCAAGUUAACCGUCAGUAUCUCAUCAACCAUGUCUUGCCUGCGAUCAAGGCGAAAUGGCCAGAGGAGGAUCGUCAUCAAACUAUUUGGAUCCAGCAAGACAAUGCACCCAGUCAUGUUCACGUGGAUGAUGAAGAAGUGAUGAAGGCAGCAUGUGAAGGAGGCUGGCACAUCAGGCUCAAGUGUCAACCACCGAACUCUCCUGAUACAAACAUUUUGGACCUUGGUUUUUUUACUUCUCUUCAGGCUUUGUUCUACAAGGAGAUGCCAAAAAACUUGCUAGAUAUUGUGGCCAAAGUUCUCCUCACAUUUGAGAAGUAUCCUGUUCCGCGGUCAAAUAGGAUUUUCCUUAGUCACCAAGGAUGCAUGAGGGAGACAUUGAAGGUCAAAGGUGCCAUCAACUACAAGGUUCCUCACAUCAAGAAGAAGGCACUAGAGAGGAAAGGUCGUCUUCCUAUUAGGUUGAAGUGUGAUCCAAAUAUCGUGCUUGAGGCAAUAGCAUUUCUCAAUGCUUAG